UACAGAGGUCCCAAGCGUUGCUCGGAUUCACUGGGCGUAAAGGGUGCGUAGGCGGUCGGAUAAGUCUGAUGUGAAAUCUUCGAGCUCAACUCGGAAACUGCAUCGGAAACUAUUCGGCUAGAGGAUUGGAGGGGAGACUGGAAUUCUCGGUGUAGCAGUGAAAUGCGUAGAUAUCGAGAGGAACACCAGUGGCGAAGGCGAGUCUCUGGACAAUUCCUGACGCUGAGGCACGAAAGCUAGGGGAGCAAACAGG
rnacentral:rRNA from 1 species